rnacentral:rRNA from 1 species
UACGGAGGGUGCAAGCGUUAUCCGGAUUCACUGGGUUUAAAGGGUGCGUAGGUGGGUCUUUAAGUCCGUGGUGAAAUCUCCGAGCUUAACUUGGAAACUGCCAUGGAUACUAUAGGUCUUGAAUACUGUGGAGGUCAGCGGAAUAUGUCAUGUAGCGGUGAAAUGCUUAGAUAUGACAUAGAACACCAAUUGCGAAGGCAGCUGGCUACACAAAUAUUGACACUGAGGCACGAAAGCGUGGGGAUCAAACAGG